UUUUAGGAACACAAAACAAAUUUCCAACUCAUUGGGACUUAUUUAAAAGCCAAUGAUGCCCUUUUAUAUCUCUUUUUCCCUUGAUUAAAAUCCACUCCUGCAUUGAUCACUGUUAGAUGAAGAGAUUAUCAACUUGGGGAAUUAUUAUGUAACAAUAUAGUGACUCAACUCUCUAUCUAAAAUGCUGGUCUUAGUGAAUAGGGCAAACAGUCUUACAAAGUACUAAAAAGCUUAUACCUCUCUGAAAGCUGAUUAACAAGAUGUGAAGUUAUGGCUCAACCCAGAUAAACCUACUAGCCCAAAUGCCUGAUAAAUGAUUUCGGUCAUUAAUAUAAACAUAUAUAAUAGAUGAACAUGUUCAGAUGCACAACAUCCACAUCCAUUCACACCAAUGUAUCAAUUCACGACUAGAGAAAUGCAGAGUUUUAACACAUACAGUUACUCAGUAACAAAAACUAUUGUUUUUCAAUGCAUAUUUUCAUUGUAUGCGCAUUUUUCUAGAAGACCAAAAGAGGUGCAAUUGCCAAUUUUGAUGGAUCCUGAAACUUAUGGAUCAUAAAUCUUUUAAAACACAUUUGGCCCAUUGCCAUUGAAAACGUAUUUAGGAAUAAAUUUGAGUAAACUCACCUUUUCCAUGCGAUCGGAGCGGGCUGCACCCCCCCACACACACUGCACCCCCCACACACACUGCACCCCCUCACACACACAUACACAGCACCCCUCACACACACAAAGAACCCCUCACACAAGCACACUGCACCCCCUCACACACACAGCACCUCUCACACACACCCAGCACCCCUCACACAAACAUACUGCACCCCACACACACAGAACCCCUCACACAAACACACAUACACAGCAUCCCUCACACAAACACACUGCACCCCACACACACAGAACCCCUCAUACAAACACACACACACAGUAUCCCUCACACAAACACACUGCACUCCACACACUCAGAACCCCUCAUACAAACACACACACAGCAUCCCGCACAAACACACAGCACCCCUCUCACACACACAGCACCGCUCCCACACACACACACAGCACCGCUCUCACACACAGCACCACUCACACAAACACACUGCACCACACACACACAGAAUCCCUCACACAAACACACUGCACCCCCUCAAACACACAGCAUCCGUCACACGUACUCUGGACCCCUCACACAAACUCUGCACCCCUCACACAAACUACACCAAUUUUUUUAGGCCUGGCUAUUAGUGUAGGAUAUGGGAAUUUGAGGCCUUAUAUCACCAUAGUGAUCACAGAGUGUGAUGUUGCAUCUUGGCCUUGAAUCCCAGAGGGACCUGCAGCUCUGCUCUGGUAGGGUGACCAUAUUAUCUAUUUAUUCAGGGAAGCCUUAGAAAAAUGUAUACCUCAAGGCCGCAGUCAGCCAAAUGUAGUGCUGCUCUGAUGUAUUCCUUUUUCAAUUUGUCUCUUAAUAAAUAGAGGAUAUGGUCAUGCUGGUAAUAGAGUGGGUGGGAAAAAUCCCUGUCUGGUGUCCUGCAUUGAAAAUGUUGGGAUAUAAUGGCAGAUUAAAGGUCUCCCAGCAUUUGCUAGGUAGAGGUGAUACUUGUGAGUGGGAUAGAAGUCCGUACAGCUCGGGGUAUCUACUUUCUCCGAUUAGAGAGAUGUUUUGCAGCAGUUGGGGGCUAUAGGUUGGCUAACCAUGGUCUGUAUACUGUUGUGAAGCGGAAGUGGUUGAUUCAGUAUGCCUGCAGAUCUGGUCAGGUACAUUGUAGUUGCAGAGCUUUCUUUCAGUGUAGUAUGAUUUCACUAGCUAUGUGUGCAAGGUACACAGCUGGUAUCCUUAAGGGAUAGGAAUAGACUUGGAUUAAAGGAAAAUAAACCGCACAACUGUUAGGUUAGUGAGGAAGACAAACAAAAGAGAAAUGUCAGGAUUUUUGCCACCGCCGUGAGCUGUCCAAACUGACUUGCAUUGUCUAUCAAAUCUAUAUAUAAAUUUACAUAUGGCUUUAUUUCUCUAGGACUUGAGGAAGAUAUAUAUAAAUCUAAAAUUGACAGUAUACACACUAUAAUACUAAUAAUAGUAUUUAAGAUACAUGCACACACUGACCCAGCUACUCAAAUAAUGAUCUAAUAAUGUUCAAGUACUCUAAUCCAAUAUAUAUUUUUUCUUGUAUGACAUUAAAAUGGUGAAAAUUGAAACAUGUGCCAUAAAUGGUGCAUUAAUAUGUAUGAAAAGCAUGCACACAUGUGAAUAUAGCAUUUCUUAUUCAGAGUAAGUGUGUGUAAUGUGGCAGGUUACAGCUAGAGAUAUUUAAUUAUGUGAAAAUCUCCAUUAAAUGAGAAAGAUUGGUAGUUAUCAUGUCAAGUUCUCAAACCACUAGGGAGCUGUGUUUGCUCGAGAACCAAGUAUCCUAAAUACAGUUAAUUAGGCAAGAUCAUUGUCAAAGUUGUCUUUUUUUUCUAGAUCAAAUAUGAUUCGAGAAUAAAGACUAAUAGAACAUUUUGCUGCAGAAACAGAUUUUUGUCAUUAUAGUGACUAACUCAAACAUUAUUAUUAAGGAUAAUUGAAAGGCUUGUUAGAAGAAUUUUGACUAAUAACAGACAUUGCUCACCACAUUGAAGAAAGCAUUAGCCUCGAGUGUAAAAAAACACACAAUAUUUUAGGACUAUAAAUUCCAUAAUUCUAUACCAGGCAUAGGUUGGGGGCUGCAUAUUAUCAGCAGUUCUGUAAGUGGACUUGAUGAGCCUAGAAUCAAGUUUACCUUGGUUCAAGCUCAUUAGAAGUACAAUCAGGUAAAAAUUCCCCUUACAUUAUGGAUAAUGAGCCUCUAUGUUUAAAUUAAUUAGUUGACUUUUUUUUUUUUUUAUUAUUUAUCAUAAGAGGCCACUUUAUUUGUCCUCUUUGUGUAUUAUUUUGUAAUGGAUGUUUAUAAGCAUAGGUUUACGAGAUACGUAGUUUAUUCACAAAGAGCAGGUACACUCACAACACAUAAUGAUUAGAACAUGCGCAGUAAACUGAUCCCAUACGGAUUCCAUACUGUAGCGGCUGUCACAUUACACAAAUGUUAAGCUUUUUGGCUGAACUGCGGCUCAGCCCACGUUGUGCAUGCAGUGUUCCGAUGCUUCACACAAAAUUGAUCUAGACAUCCUGAAAGUUGCAGCGUACUCUGAAACAGUUUCUUACACCUGCAGUAAAGUGUAUAACUUGCCGGAGUUCUUAGCCACCCUUGCAGCUGAUAGUAGGCUCAGGUUGCUUCAUGCAAUAAUACACAUUUGCGAAGGUGCUUAAAAUGACCGUUUUAGAUAGUCACCCCCACACUUAGCAAGGGAGGUGGACUAAACAGAGGUAUUUUCCUAUAUAGAUGCAUUACAAGGUGAUUUACAUGGAGGGCAAUAUGCAUGUCAAGGUUUUAACUAAAAAAUCAUGACAGUGUUCCUUUAAAAUUUGUGCUUAGUAUGGGCUGAUAUAUAUUAUAUCUGGGCAUUUAACCAUUCUAUAUGUCUUUGAUCCAUGCAGGAGUCAAUGUAAUUUAGGAAAAUGGCAUAUUUUGAUGUGGAAAUACAAUGGAUUAAUGUGGAAAAAAUAUAUUUUCAAUUUAUUUUUCAUGCCAGCUAAACAUUGUCAUUAUUGCACCUUGGUGGAACACCCUAAGUACAAUAACAACUACAGCUCAUUGUAAUGGUUACAGUGCAAAGAAUGUCUGUGCACUGUUGCCCCAAUUUAUGUCUAACAGUUUUCAAGUGGUUUGACCAAAGACCAGGUCUGUCCUGGGAUCCAAAGUGCAACCCAUCGCCAUAAUCGCACACAGCAUGUAGUCAAUGACACUUUGGAUAUGUGACACUAGUAUAUUAAAUUCUAUACACACAUUUCAGAAUAUCAGUGCCAAACUAUAAAUAGAACAACAUUCUACCCUAUGUACACAUACUGACACAAAGCAAUAACAAACUAACACAUAUAUCAGCAACAGCCUGAAUGUGACACCAACAAAUACAUGUGGCAUAUGCAAUUCUUAAUGCCAAAAACAUACCUCCUAACGUUACGUGACCAAAGAAAAACAACAUUAUGUUAGUAGUAUGACGUAUGGCCAAUACUAAGAAUUUUUAGGUGAUUAAUUACAUUUUUAUAGCAUUUAUUAGGGUAUGUCAUUCAGAACUGCAUAUUAUUUCCAUAAUCUAUUUUUUAUUUAUUUAUUUUUUGCUGUGGAACUCUGAAAUACUCUAAUACACACUGUACAGUAUUGUGAAUUUUAUUGUCGUGGAACGCUGUGAUCCAUUCAUACACACCAAAUCAUCCUAUAUAUGAGCAGUAGAUAGAUUUGGGUCUCCAGGAUGAUAACUUGGGUGGUAUGCAAACUGUAAAUAGAUAUAUACACACGUCUAGUGCAGAUUGCCAUGCUUGCAGAAAAAGAAUCAAGUCAGUUUGUGCAUUGUACAUCUAUCAAAGUAACUGGUAGACAUUCAUACAUUCCAAUACAAAUCUAUUUCUGAAUAGAAUCUGUCGACUUUACAAGUUCCUGCAUCAUAAGUGAGAAUUACCAAUUUCAGCAGGAAAUCGAUAUAUGAAGGCAGAUGACCUGUCUUUGGGGAAUUUUUAUAAAGCAAAGUGAUUUAUCACCAAAUUGUAAAGAUCGAUUAGAUUAAUAAUGCCCAAUUCCACUGAAUAAUCAAUUAAACCCAGCAAAUCACCAUUAGAUUUUUUUUACCUUCAUAUUAAUACUCUUAGCUUGAGUGGCUGAUAAUCAAUAAUAAACUUUAAUUGGUGCUAAAUAAUUAUAUAAUGCAAUAUCACACAAAUGUCACAACCAUUAGAGUCUGAAUUAUGCAUAUCAGUGUGCUUUUACUGGGAAAAAAAUAAUAAUAUAUUAUUUUAUAUAUAUAUAUACACACACAUACAGCAUAUCAGUCUUUAUCUUACCCUCCAAAAACUGUACAGUGAGAGAACAUACAACAGAAAGUAAUUUUGUUGCAGUAAUUAGGAAAGAUUACCGAUUUGGAAAAAUUCUCCAUUUAAGCUGUAAUCACAAUUAUUACUUGGUUUUCUUUUUUUUUUUAAAUGGAAAACUGGGGCAGUGUCAUGUAGAAGUGUGUAGGUGUGCACUUAUAAAGCCAUGUUGUAUUGAUGGUACACACUCAUUGUCAGAUUCUAAGCUGAAAGCAUUGUGUGUCUUGUACUCUUACCAUCGCCCUCUUUUUUUUCACUUCGAACAUAACCCAAAUGCAUUGUUGGCAGAUUGUCUGUAUUUUGUUCUGAUAAUGUUUGACUUUAUUUCUUUCCCACAGUUGGCAAAAAAUGAUGUAAGAACAGUGAAAGUUUAAUAAAAAUCAAAGCAAGAAGAAUAACUGUAAGGAAAAACAAAACAAAAAAAGUGCUGAAUUUAGACCAAAAAAUAAAUCACACCCUGUACAGUGACAAAAAGCGAUUGAUCGCAGUGCAUAAUACAGGCUGUGUUUAGCAUGACCCACGCCUGGCUUGGGGUGUGCAAGUCUACCAAAGACAAUAUAUAUUUGUGUGGGUGUUUAUGCCCCUACUCUGCUGGAGGGGGGUUUGCAAAAAAUUGCAAUGUACAGCCCAUAAAGCAACCAAAGUGUUAAAAGUGCGUACAUUUCUUCCCUUAUCCUCAGUAUGAGAAAUGUUUUUUCUUUUUUAAAUUCUUUUUAUUUCAUUGCCUUUUAUUUGUUUUGUGAAAAUAAAAAUGGUGUUUUUCAUUAUUAUUUUCACCGGGGAAUUGGAAAUAUAAUAAUUAAAAAAUGAACAGCCAUUAUGAUUCCCCCCCCC